AUGAAGCCGGAAUUGCUAGUAAUGGCAGGUCAGCAUACUGCCGUGAAUACGUUCCCGGGCCCUUGUACACACCGCCCGUCACACCAUGAGAGCUGGGAAUACCCGAAGCCUGUGAGCUAACUUUUAGAGGCAGCAGUCGAAGGUAGAAUCAAUGAUUGGGGUGAAGUCGUAACAAGGUACC
rnacentral:rRNA from 1 species